AGUGAACGCUGGCGGUAGGCCUAACACAUGCAAGUCGAACGGCAGCACAGGAGAGCUUGCUCUCUGGGUGGCGAGUGGCGGACGGGUGAGGAAUACAUCGGAAUCUACUCUGUCGUGGGGGAUAACGUAGGGAAACUUACGCUAAUACCGCAUACGACCUACGGGUGAAAGCAGGGGACCUUCGGGCCUUGCGCGAUUGAAUGAACCGAUGUCGGAUUAGCUAGUUGGUGGGGUAAAGGCCCACCAAGGCGACGAUCCGUAGCUGGUCUGAGAGGAUGAUCAGCCACACUGGAACUGAGACACGGUCCAGACUCCUACGGGAGGCAGCAGUGGGGAAUAUUGGUCAAUGGGCGCAAGCCUGAUCCAGCCAUACCGCGUGGGUGAAGAAGGCCUUCGGGUUGUAAAGCCCUUUUGUUGGGAAAGAAAUCCAGCUGGCUAAUACCCGGUUGGGAUGACGGUACCCAAAGAAUAAGCACCGGCUAACUUCGUGCCAGCCGCCGCCGUAA
rnacentral:rRNA from 1 species